UAGGGAAUCUUCGGCAAUGGGGGGAACCCUGACCGAGCAACGCCGCGUGAGUGAAGAAGGUUUUCGGAUCGUAAAGCUCUGUUGUUAAGGAAGAACGAGUGUGAGAAUGGAAAGUUCAUACUGUGACGGUACUUAACCAGAAAGCCACGGCUAACUACGUGCCAGCAGCCGCGGUAAUACGUAGGUGGCAAGCGUUGUCCGGAUUUAUUGGGCGUAAAGCGAGCGCAGGCGGUCAAUUAAGUCUGAUGUGAAAGCCCCCGGCUCAACCGGGGAGGGUCAUUGGAAACUGGAAAACUUGAGUGCAGAAGAGGAGAGUGGAAUUCCAUGUGUAGCGGUGAAAUGCGUAGAUAUAUGGAGGAACACCAGUGGCGAAGGCGACUCUCUGGUCUGUAACUGACGCUGAGGCUCGAAAGCGUGGGUAGCAAACAGG
rnacentral:rRNA from 1 species